CUACGGGAGGCAGCAGUGGGGAAUAUUGCACAAUGGAGGAAACUCUGAUGCAGCGACGCCGUGUGAGUGAAGAAGUAUUUCGGUAUGUAAAGCUCUAUCAGCAGGGAAGAUAGUGACGGUACCUGACUAAGAAGCACCGGCUAAAUACGUGCCAGCAGCCGCGGUAAUACGUAUGGUGCAAGCGUUAUCCGGAUUUACUGGGUGUAAAGGGAGUGUAGGUGGCAUGGCAAGUCAGAAGUGAAAGCCCAGGGCUCAACCCUGGGACUGCUUUUGAAACUGCCGAGCUAGAGUGCAGGAGAGGUAAGUGGAAUUCCUAGUGUAGCGGUGAAAUGCGUAGAUAUUAGGAGGAACACCAGCGGCGAAGGCGGCUUACUGGACUGUAACUGACACUGAGGCUCGAAAGCGUGGGGAGCAAACAGGAUUAGAUACCCCAGUAGUC
rnacentral:rRNA from 1 species